rnacentral:rRNA from 1 species
UCGAGGAUAUUUAGCAAUGGGGGAAACCCUGACUAUGUGACGCCGCGUGAGGGAUGAAGGUCUUCGGAUUGUAAACCUCUUUCAGUGGGGAAGAAACCUCUAGUUAAUCACUAGAGCUGACGGUACCCAAAGAAGAAGCCAUGGCCAACUCUGUGCCAGCAGCCGCGGUAAUACAGAGAUGGCAAGCGUUACUCGGAUUUAUUGGGUGUAAAGGGCAGGUAGGCGUUCCAUCAAGUUGGGAGUGAAAUCCUAAGGCUCAACCUUAGAACUGCUUUCAAAACUGUUGGAAUUGAGGCCAGAAGAGGAGAGCGGAAUUCCCGGUGUAAGGGUGAAAUCUGUAGAUAUCGGGAGGAACACCAGUGGCGAAAGCGGCUCUCUGGUCUGGUCCUGACGCUAAGCUGCGAAAGCUAGGGGAGCAAACAGG